UUUACCUGCUUGUUGAGACAGAGUUUUAUCCUACAUCCUGUCGUAGCCCAUAACUUGGUUUGGUACAGGCUGGCCCUCCUGAGUGCUGGGAUUAGAGGUGUGAACCACCCACUUGGCUCUCAGUGUCAUUUCUUUUAGACUUGAUACUCGGCAAGUCUAUUUUUAGCUUUGUUGACUCUAUGACAAACAUACUCCAGGUGCUGCAACCUGAGGGAGGGAGGGCCAGCCACUUGUUCAGUCAGAUGUGCUAUUGCCUGAAGGAACACUACCCUGGGUCCAGCGUAUCUGAGAUCCUCUUCUCGGGCACUGAGAACACACGUCGUGCACAGAUACACACUCAGGCAAAACACCCACACUUUCAAAAAGUGGGGUCACAAAAUGCUCAUAUCCGCUUCAAGUCCCAGUGACCCAAGUCAUUGUUCUGACUAAAUCCUCGGAAGUCAGCACAUUUGUGCGAUUCCCUUGGGAUUUGCCUAACAAGGGCACAAACACACUACAGACCUGGGAUCUGCUUUCUCCAGGAAAUAUGCACUAAUGUCUGGGUUGGACCAUUCAUUCCCCUCGUGUGCAGCUGGACAUGAGAUUUAACACCAGUCAAGAAAGGGAGUCAGCUUCCUGGCCUCCUUCAUGUUGCUCGUCUUGUGGUUUGGCUCUGGCACUACUGAAGCUUUCCGUUCCGUUCUGCUGUCUUUUGGGAUGGGGGUGGGGGGUCUUGGGGGGUUACCAUUCAUUCCUUCUGGG